rnacentral:rRNA from 1 species
UACGAAGGAUGCGAGCGUUAUCCGGAUUUAUUGGGUUUAAAGGGUGCGUAGGCGGCCUUAUAAGUCAGGGGUGAAAUCCUAUCGCUUAACGAUAGACGUGCCAUUGAUACUGUAGGGCUUGAGUACAGAUGCCGUUGGCGGAAUGUGUCAUGUAGCGGUGAAAUGCAUAGAUAUGACACAGAACACCGAUUGCGAAGGCAGCUGACGAAACUGUAACUGACGCUGAGGCACGAAAGCGUGGGGAUCAAACAGG